rnacentral:rRNA from 1 species
GGGCCCGCACAAGCGGUGGAGCAUGUGGUUUAAUUCGAAGAUACGCGCAGAACCUUACCAACACUUGACAUGUUCGUCGCGACUCUAAGAGAUUAGAGUUUUCGGUUCGGCCGGACGAAACACAGGUGCUGCAUGGCUGUCGUCAGCUCGUGUCGUGAGAUGUUGGUUAAGUCCCGCAACGAGCGCAACCCUCACUUUUAGUUGCCAUCAUUAAGUUGGGCACUCUGAAAGAACUGCCAGUGAUAAGCUGGAGGAAGGUGGGGAUGACGUCAAGUCCUCAUGGCCCUUACGUGUUGGGCUACACACGUGCUACAAUGGUAUCUACAACAGGAAGCAAGACUGCGAAGUUAAGCA